rnacentral:misc_RNA from 1 species
AAGUCGUAACAAGGUUUCCGUAGGUGAACCUGCGGAAGGAUCAUUUUUGGUACACUAUUAAACUUGGGGGGUUCACUCCCGAGUGUUAACUGAACACGUCUAGUUGGCCUUGGCUGCUAGGUUGAACACGGCAUUGUCUGACUUUAAUUAAUAACAAAACUUUCAACAACGGAUCUCUAGGCUCUU